AGAUCCCAGGAGCACCUGGCUAGCCGACCGCUCUGCACUACAUGGUACGGCAGCGAGUAAACAGGAUGUGUGAACGACGAGUGAGUGAGCGAGCGUGCGAGCAAUUCGGAGAGGACACAAACAGAGGCGAGUCACGUUAGAUCCUGACAAUAGCAGUAGCUCUGCUCACUUCUGAUCCUAAGAGGUUGUUCAUAGAGUGUAUGGAAGAAUGUGUCGUUUAAAAACGCUCAGAAAGUCACUCCUUUCAACUGCCAGCACACACCGGCGCUUACAAAUAAACAAGAAACCAAUACAAACGUAGAUUAAAGGAAACGUUUUUACUCGAAUUGUGUCGAUCUCCGUACUUGUGUAAAACUGCCUCUCGACCGGUGCGACUGCCGACCGCUAUAUUUCUCUUUUGAAAGGAGGGCAGUACUUCACGACGCCCGGAGGUCUGAAGGAACACGCGUUCCCGCCCUUGCAAUUUAUAAAUGUGCUCACUUUACGCUACCAUUGGCUGUUUCGGAAGUUAACGGGGCUAUAACGCGAAAGGCUACAAGAAUAGGCUUUUCUACGGAAAGGAAUCUCUGAGCGUGAAACGACGGAGGCGUGAAUAAUUCGCAAAACAAAGCGUUCAAAGAGCGGAAAAUGAAAUUAUAUCCUUGCGCGCGACCGGUACGACGUGUUCGCUUCGACGAAGGCGAGCACGUUGAGAGAGACAGAGAGGACGAAGGAGAGUGGCAGAGAGAGACAAAGACAGACAAACAGAGAGAAAAAGAGAGCGAGGAGCCAACGGAUUUCCUGCUAGCGUUACGAGUCAAUUUGCAGGCCGGGUUUUGCCCGCUUCCGAGACAUUCCGCGUCUCCGUCGCGGCUUCUACCGCGGCGACUCGAUUGUUUUUAAGCGGAGGAGAACUCGCUCGACCGUAUUGGUCGAUUCGAGGCGACAACAGCAACGACGACGGCGAUGACAACGAUGGAACUUUCUGGCGACAAUGGCGAGACUCGAGUUCCCUGGCCGGUCGGUCAGGCGAACCGCCAGCGAAGUAAUGAAAUGGACCGAAGGGCCCGUGCUCGAGAGAAAGGGAGAGACAGACAGAGAGACAGAGAGAGGUCCUGGCCCGGAGAAUUCCUCCGGGUGAAUGGAAAUCCUCCCGCGUGUUUACAAACAAGCGAAACUGGUUCCGAAGGUUCUCGCUUAUGCGAGAACGGACACGCCCUAGCCGAGCGUGCGAAAGAGCCUCGCACGGAGGAGGAACAAAGCGGCCGCUAUCCUUUGUUUCAACCAUUCCGCAGCCCACAGGGAGGAUAUACUAACGUCUUUGUGGACACACGAAGCAUGACGCCUCAAUUAAGUCUACAUCGAUUAAUUAGAGUCCCGGUGAGUUGUUUACAGACUGUAAUUUCAGUUGGGCAAACUUCCGAUUCGUCGGAGCGUCUGUCGUGGAAAUUAAGAUCGAGGACUCCGCUCGGACGUGUUAUCAUCGAAAGCGGCUUCUUACAAGAGCCUCCAUACUUCAGCCGGAAAUGCACCCGUACAUCCGGGCCGCAGCUGGUUGAGUAAUUCACGUUGUACCUGCAACUAAUCUACUCUCGAGCGUCGUGGAAAUGCGUCACUCCGAAUGCGGGAUUCUAAUCCCGAUCUUCAUUUCCGCGACUCUGAAACGUCCGAUUGGACGCGACUGUACGCAGGGAAAAAGAUUUCUUUGGAUUUAAUAAACUUUAUUGCAUUCAAACAAAUUUCAUCAUUGGAAUGAUCCGAAGAAACUAAUGGCCAUUCUACAAUUGCGUGAUCGUUAGUGAUUACGAUGACCAGUAAUUAAAUAAAGUAAAUAAAUAAAACACUCUGGUCAGGCCUUACGAGCACACUUACGCAAUUAUAAAUAUUUCGGUCAAUAAGUACGACUGUACGAUUGUGUGGACUUUUUAAAUAAUAUACAGGGUGUCCCAGAACAAUCUACGAAUCUCUCGUGAGAACGUAGAGCGGGUCGAGAUGAACAUAAAAGUCCUAUACCGUUUUGCAAUAUUUAUAAUAAUAACCGAGAAAUUAAUUACGAAAGAUUAAGGAAAAGCGUGCGUUGAAUGGUAGAGGAGCGAUCGAAUCUGCGCAGCCCAAUAAUAUAGCAUGCGGAUGCCGGUGCGGGAUGAGUGGAAGAACAUCGCACCAAUGCCUGUACUUAUAUCCAAUGAUGCGAUUUCGAACCCGCGCACGCUGAUUGAGCACGCAAACAAGAUCCGGAUCCGCGCUGCAGCUCGAGCGCUUCUCCUCCAACUAUUCAGCGCGCGUUUUUCCUUAAUUUUUCGCAAUUAAUUUCUCAACUAUUAUUGCAAAUAUCACAAAAUGAUGUAAGACUUUUAUGUUCAUCUCGACCCGUUCUACGUUCUCACGAGAACUUCGUAGAUUGUUCUGAGACACCCUGUAUAUCUUCUUAAAUAAAAUAUUUAUUUGAAACGAAAAACAUAUUAAUUUUAGCUUCAAAAUGAUAUUGUUUCAUUUAACCGAUCAUAUCACAGGAUCCAAACGUUUGCGUAUCUUUCUGUAAAGUUUCGAUCCUAAACAACAUGGCCGACACCCUCGUCCAUGCUGACCGCAGUUGAGCAUUGCUUAACUUUGAUGAUCAAGCAAGCUGCGACGAUCCUUAUGCUCCGAAGAUAUUCUUACGACUUGUACUUAUACAAUGUAUUCUUAUAGUGUUCACGGUACAUUGUAACAUUUACUGACAAGUAUUGAGACAACACAACAACAUUCGACUUGCGACGUAUAUUAAUUAAAUGUAUAUUAGUGAACCAAUGAUUCCAUGAUUGCUUUCAUAUUUUUAACAUAAUAUUUUAAUGGUUAAUCCAAAAAAAGAUUGAAACAAAUUCUAAGAAAUCCAAAUCAAAUAACUCGAAUUAUUAAAUCUAAAAAA